CUCCCACCCCCAAUCCCUCCCAGCAUCAGAGUCUUUUCCAAUGAGUCAACUCUUCCCAUGAGGUGGCUGAAGUACUGGAGUUUCAGCUUUAGCAUCAUUCCUUCCAAAGAAAUCCCAGGGUUGAUCUCCUUCAGAAUGGACUGGUUGGAUCUCCUUGCAACUCUCAAGAGUCUUCUCCAACACCACAGUUCAAAAGCACUCAGUUUUCUUCACAGUCCAACUCUCACAUCCAUACAUGACUACUGGAAAAACCAUAGCCUAAUCAGAAAACUGUUUUCAGUGUUCACAUGACAACUUUUGACUUUAUACCAUGAUUUUCAAGUAAUAAGGUGUUUGUGUCUCUAUACAUUUCUGACAUGGAUUUUAUUCUGCCAAACCAUACCAAAAAAUGUUGGCCAUAGUACUUCUGAACCUCAAUCAUUUAUAGACACUUAAGAUGCAAUUAGUUUAGGUGUGAGGAAAAGUCAUUAUAAAAAGAGGUUUUUUUUUUUUUUUUUUUGUAAAGGUUGACUUUUGGAGAUUUCACUUCUUUUAUGUCCUGGUAUAAGAAUUUCUUCUUAAGGCAUAUAUUGAUUUAACACAACAUUGUAAAUCAACUGCAUUUCAAUUUUUUUUUAAAAAU
rnacentral:lncRNA from 1 species